GUUUGUUUGAAGUUAUAAAGAAUUUAACCUGCCCCCUGAUUAAUUAUUUAAAGGGCCGCAGUAUUAUAACUGUGCAAAGGUAGCAUAAUCAUUAGGUUUUUAAUUGAAAUCUCGUAUGAAUGGUUGGACAAAAGAAAAACUCUCUUUAUAUUAAGUUUUGAAUUUAACUUUUAAGUGAAAAGGCUUAAAUAUUCUAAAGGGACGAUAAGACCCUAUAAAACUUUACAUUGUCGUUAAUUUUGAUUGAAUUUAUAAAAUAAAAAUUUUAUUUGAUUAUUUGUUAUGUUGGGGAGACAUAAGUAAAAAUUUUUUAACUGCUUUGACAAUUAUACAAUUAUUAAUGGAAUAAUAGAAGAUCCUUUUUUAAGAUUAGUAGAUUAAGUUACUUUAGGGAUAACAGUGUAAUUUCUUUUGAGAGUUCUUAUCGAAAAAGAAGAUUGCAACCUCGAUGUUGAAUUAAAAUAUCUAUAUAAUGAAGAGGUUAUAUAAGAAGGUCUGUUCGACCUUGAAAAUUUUACAUGAUUUGAGUUCAAACCGGUGCAAG
rnacentral:rRNA from 1 species